rnacentral:lncRNA from 1 species
UGUAGUGUGUUUUGCACAUUGUAUUCUUUGACCCAGUUGGUGUGGUUAGCAUUCAAGCACUUUGAACUUGGACCUCACGGAUUUGUGGUGAAUUUAGAUGCUUCAACGACCAGAGCAGUACACUGCGUCGUCUUCUUGUGAUGCGUAACUUGUUUUAGGGCUUUUGUGUUUAUCUCUGACUCUGAUCCUGGAUGUGGACGUCACUGGAUAACUUGGUUCAAAUCUUUGCAACAUCGUGAAUAGUGUUGUGCUUUCAAAGCUUGUUGGCCAACUCUGCAGUGCCUCACUGGGACACCUCUCCAUGCAUACAUCACACAAUCUAUAAUCUGUGUGUGAAAACUACAUUAGGGUUUCAUGCAGCCAGAAAUCGGCUUUAUAUGGUGCAUCCCAUGUGUGACGCUUCCUUGAGGGUUCUCUUUCCAGACAAUAUUAGGGUUUCUCUCUCAUCAACUUUAUAUAGCUUUUUGUGUUUGGUUCUCCUUGCGAGCCUGGACAUUGGGUUUAUGUAAUGCCUUUUUAUGCAAAUUUCUUUACUGGCCUUGUAACUCAGGCAUUCUAUCAUAAACAGAAACCACAUAAAUUAGCAGUGACCCUUGGUGGCUUAGUGUCAAAUACAGGACUGCGUUGUUGCACAUCCUACAAAACUGGAUGUUUAUUAUGAGACCUUAUUUGCUCUUUCUCUUUUAAUUAGUAAGGACAAACCCAUCGUAAAAAGUUUUUGUAAUCAAUUUUGAGAUCCAUUGCACGCAAAUUCACAUGAUGUGACGAUUGGUAAAUUUGAACGCACAAGACUUGUUUGAUACCUUCUACUGUGUAGCUUUCAUCAACAAGCAUUUGCAAUAUGAAGGAGAAGAGUGAUUAUGUACAAUAGUCUUUGAUUCCUCAAAAAUCAUAAAAAUGCCUGCUUGAGCAUAACUCCUUUUUAGCUGUUAUAAAUCAUAAAAUAGUAUGGAAAAAUAGUUUAUGGAUGCACAUGCAUUUCAUUGAGAGAUGUAUAAUGUUCCUUUUUAUUCUUUACUUUUCUAGAAUAUAAGACAAUAUGAUAAAUCCAUGGCUUCAAGAAGGUUCAAGAAGAAAUUAUAAUGUUUAACAGAUGGGUUUUGAAUUUUUGUAACUUGGUGGCAUCAUCUAAUUAUUAGUUUUGGUUGGGUUUUAAUUUGGAUUUUA